UACAGAGGGUGCAAGCGUUGCUCGGAAUCAUUGGGCGUAAAGGGCGUGUAGGUGGUUUCGUAAGUCUGGCGUGAAAUAUCUCGGCUUAACCGAGGCAGGUCGUCGGAUACUGCGGAACUAGAGGACGGUAGAGGCGUGUGGAAUUCCGGGUGUAGUGGUGAAAUGCGUAGAGAUCCGGAGGAACACCAGUGGCGAAGGCGACACGCUGGGCCGUACCUGACACUGAUGCGCGACAGCAUGGGGAGCAAACAGG
rnacentral:rRNA from 1 species